AACGAACGUUGGCGGUGUGGAUUAGGCAUGCAAGUCGAACGAAUGCUACUCGUGUAGUAAUACAUGGGUAGAGGAAGUGGCGAAAGGGGCAGUAAUGCAUGGAUAACCUACCUUGGGGUUGGGCAUAGCCGUUCUAACGGACGGGUAAUUCCCAGAGAUUCAGCGGGGCGGCAUCGUUCUGCUGGGAAAGAAUUUCGCCUCGAGAGGGGUCCAUGUGCUAUUAGCUAGUUGGUGAGGUAACGGCUCACCAAGGCUAAGAUGGCUAGCGGGUGUGAGAGCACGACCCGCGCCACUGGCACUGAGACACUGGCCAGACACCUACGGGUGGCUGCAGUCGAGGAUCUUCGUCAAUGGGCGCAAGCCUGAACGAGCGACACCGCGUGCGCGAUGAAGGCCUUCGGGUUGUAAAGCGCGAAAGUGGAAAGAAAGGGAAACUUGAUCGAUCCACAGUAAGGACGGGCUAAGUUCGUGCCAGCAGCCGCCGUAAAAC
rnacentral:rRNA from 1 species